CGAUUUAAAAAUAACCUUGAUAGAUGACCCUUUAUACCAUGGUUUUAAAACCAUGGUAGAAAGAAUAUUUAUUGUGAAUUUAUUUUCACGGUUAUACGUGGAUCUUAUUCCUACUGGUUUCUUUAAAAAAAAAUUAAAAAAAAAAAACAUAUUUUACAUACAAAAGUAUAUAUACUCCAAUUUUAGGGCAAAUCAUUUCAGCCUCCCAAAUCACCUCCAUAUCUGUUCUCGUUCUCAACUCUGCACUUGCCCUCCCUCUGUCUCUGCAACUGCAAACUACAAAAUCUACAAGAAUCAGAUCAGCCUCCCAAAUCGCCUCCAUCUCUAUUCUCGUUCUCAACUCUGAACUUGCCGUCUUUCUGUCUCUGCAACUACAAACUACAAAAUCUACAAGAAUCAAAUCAGCCCCAAAUCGCCUCCAUCUCUAUUCUGGUUCUCAACUCUGAACUUGCCCUCUCUCUGUCUCUGCAACUGCAAACUACAAAAUCUACAAGAAUCAGAACCCAUAUCGGCAUAUCAUUUCAAAUUGUUCAAAAAAUCAAAACCCUUAUCCUUCAGUUUCCAUCGCCCGUUGUUCCAGUUCGGGUUCGCCGUUCACAAGCUUCAGCCUCUGGCCCGCUGUCUCUCAACUCUUAAGCCCUCUCUCUGCAACUGCUAACUUGUGCAUUUCAUCAGUUGGCUUUAUUUCUUCAAACUAUGUGAUAUACCCAAAAGUCUUCCAAAGGGGCUGGGAAAAGACAACAACGGGAGCGUCGAUUGCAUGGCCUAUCAAGUACAUCAAAAUUUGUAAGUUAUAUGGUCUUUAUGUUCGAUAAAAUUCUUUUAUGAUUGCACAUUUUUAAUACUUUUUAUACUCAUACUCAGGGGGGUCACAUGCCUUUAAGUGACUAAUUUUGUGGUGUAUCUUGAACUUAAUUACCUUAUUGGUACAUCGGCCCAUGUGGAGGCCAUUUUUAUUUCUUGUUUUAAAAUGUUGAAAGCAUGGGAGUAUGGGAUCAUCGUAUGUGGAGGUCUUGAUUGAUUGUUGUGGAGGAAAGUUGUUAAUAUGUUGUUUAAGGAGUUAACGCAAGUUGGCAACCUAUUUAUUUUUUAUUAUUUAUUUAUUUUUAUUUUUUUUGUAUUAGUUGUUAUUCAUAUUAUAUUCAUAUGAUUGAUCUAAGAAAAAAUGGGGUGGAUUAAUUACUUUGAAAAAAGAAUGCUAUAGUCACAUUUGUAUUCUCUAGUACCACAUAUUUUAGAAUGGGCUUUCCAGUCAGAUUGAACCGCAUAUCUCUUUGAACACUUCUCACACUUGUACUUCUUCUCACCAUACUUUCUUGAGUAGUGCUUCUUGAUUGUAUCCACUUCUCACAGAUACACCUUCCUCUUCACUUCUUUUGUAGUUUUCAGCUUUAGCUUUCAAGGUAGGUUGUGUCAUCUUCUGUGGAGCUGGAGGUUUUGCUCCCUUUGGAAUCCAUUGUUGCAUUCCUCACAAAUGAACCUGUUUGUUGCCAUUAGGGUCUUGGAAGAUAGUGCAAUUACCUCCGCAUCUGGAUCUGUUAUGUAGGAGAAAGAAUUCGAAAUAGUGUGAUAAGUAGAUAAUCUUGUACUUUUAAGAUGAUUAAAGGCAAUGUAUUAGCCAAAAAUUAAUUAAAAAUAAAUAUAUAAAAAGAACUACUGUAUUUAACUUAUAAUACAGAUUAUGAUGGUAAAAGAUUGGAAAGAGAUCAGUUUAGAAUGAGGUGUUUACAAGAAGUCAGACUUGAUAUCCCACUAUUUUAUAAUAUUUGUGUAUAUAUAAUACACAUUUACACACACAUAUAUAUAAAGAGAGAGAAAGGACAAGCUGGGAUUGCAGAAGAGUUGAGAAGUUUGUAGUAAUACUAGUAUGGAGGGUGGCGUCUCUCAUGUCCCUACCUCUUUGUGAUAUGUCCAAGUAUUGUCAACUGUUUUGGUAUUAUAGAAACCAAUCUGAAAACUGUCUACUCUUAAUUCUCUCCUAUAAAUACUAUGCAAUCCCCUUUCUCAAAAUCACCAUUUCAAUCUCUCAUUUUAGCGCUCUCUCUCUCUAUAACAUACAGUUGCAUUACAUAGAAAUAUAUCUCCUACAAUGGUAAUGAUAUCUGAGAGUAAGAGAGAGGAUGAUCAAUUAGAAAUCCAGUACCAGAAAGGAGUGAAACAUUUGUGUGAAAAUGGCAUUACAAAACUUCCUAAGUACAUAUUGCCCAUUUUAGACCGACCCAAUUCAUUCAAAGGAAAACCAUACCAGUCUCAACUUAAUCUUAAGUUGCCCAUCAUUGAUUUUGCUUAAUUGCAGGGUCUAAAUCGGUCCCAAGUCCUCAAGUCCCUCGCCAAUGCUUGUGAAUAAUAUGGAUUCCAAACAACAAAAAACUGAAAAAGCCAUAAACUAGAAGACAUAAUAAGAAUCAAAUUAGGUUUACAAAAGUACCUAACUCACAAAUCUAGAAAUUCCAUGGAUGUCAAAGGGGAAAAAAGAAAAAAAAGAAAAAGAAAAAGAAGAAAGACAGGAUUGAUAUAACCAAUUAGUUGCAUCUGAAAGUAGAGACAGGUUUGCCCCUAGAUUUUCAAUGCUUGUAUGACCUUGCAACACCUAACAUUCACCCCUUCUUUUGGCAACCAAAAAAACUAAGGUGUGAAACUAUAGUGUCAACAAUCAAUUUGGACUUAUGCCACAAAGAUCAACAAUUGAAGCUAUUUAAAUAUAAAAAUAGAUAAAAGUGCCAACAAAAAUAGAUAAAACUCAUAAAUAUAAAAAUUCAAUCCUAAAGUACCUAAUUUGUGUACUUUAAAGGAUGAUGAUAGAAACACAACUAGGUAAACUCCGUGGAAUUGGCUACUAAUCAUGCAAAAUAAUAUAGCUGCUUUUUCCAUAACUUUACUAACUAGGAUGCCCAUUUAUUGUCAACUAUCAUAUCUUCGCAAUAAUACAUGCUCGAAAUUGUAUAAACAAAAUCAGGAUGCCAUUUUUCAUGCAAACGAUGUGCUUACAUAGUUUCAAGAUUGUAUUAUAGAGGAAAAAAUUAUUUAGUAUGAACAUACUUCCUUCUUAUUUUAGUUCUAUUUUCCACUAAAAUAAGACUUUAUACUAGACCUAUUUAAAUUUCCAGAAGAAUGUUCAACUUUUUUUUUUGGGGAAAAGAAGAAUGUUCAACUUAACUGACUUUAAAGAGUAAUUUCCAAGACUUAAAAUUCUCAAGCUCAGACCUUAAGUUGCGCAAACACUAACCACAACCUACGAAUAUAUUGGUACUUCAAAUUAUUAAACCUAUCUAAGAUUUGUCCUUUUCUUCUGAGGUGUUGUGGUUGGAGCUGUUGAAGAAGUGGGUAUGGAAGGUUGCUGCUGCUGCUUCAUCUGGUUUUGAUCAUCUUCUCUUAGUCCGAAGAACGGCGUUGAUGAGGGAUUGCCUAUUGCCUGUGAAUAUAGGGCAGCUUCCAAACUAUGUAGGCUACAAUACCAUUCAUAUAUAGUUCAAGAGUAGUGAAAUAUUUUUCCUAGGAAUAGAGUUUUAAGGGAAAUUUUCUCAGUCAUUCUAGCCGACAACACUUUUAUGAUUUGCUAAUGCUGAUGAAUCCCUUUCAUUUUUCUGAACUUUAUUUGGUUAAAUUAAGGUGAAACAUCAACUUUUCUUCUAUACUUUUAGAAAAAAAGGAGUGCUCAUUUUAUGUGCAUUUGGACUUAAAAGAAAUAACUAAUGGUACAUAGGAUAUAUGGUAGCUAGGGAACUUUGUUUCCCUUUAAGCAAUUCUAGUGGGGUGUGAAACUACCACUUUGAAAAAUAAAGCAUCUAUUUGCACUACCAAUCAUUAUGAUUCUUUGUUGGCCAUUUAAAGUGUUCUAAUUUUGAUGAAGAGUAACCCUAUAAUGAAAGAAGUUAUAAAUAAUCAAACAUUUUCUUCUCAUGACAUGAAAAAUAUAUUUAAUUAUUGAGAAUGGCUUGAUUGUACCUAUGAUUAAAAUUUAUUAGUAUUUAAUUAGAGACUUUUUUUAUCAACUAUACACACACACACACACACAUAUAUAUAUAUGCAUGGAAAUGAUAUCUUUCUUCUAUGAUUUCUAUCUUUUUGUUUCUGUUGUGUUGUUUUGUUCAUUGUCUCUAUCUAUCAUGAAUGUUCUUUUAUGUGUGUGUGUGUGUGGUGGGGGUGGGG